GUCGAACGAUGAUGCCCAGCUUGCUGGGUGGAUUAGUGGCGAACGGGUGAGUAACACGUGAGUAACCUGCCCCUGACUCUGGGAUAAGCGUUGGAAACGACGUCUAAUACUGGAUAUGAUCACUGGCCGCAUGGUCUGGUGGUGGAAAGAUUUUUUGGUUGGGGAUGGACUCGCGGCCUAUCAGCUUGUUGGUGAGGUAAUGGCUCACCAAGGCGACGACGGGUAGCCGGCCUGAGAGGGUGACCGGCCACACUGGGACUGAGACACGGCCCAGACUCCUACGGGAGGCAGCAGUGGGGAAUAUUGCACAAUGGGCGAAAGCCUGAUGCAGCAACGCCGCGUGAGGGAUGACGGCCUUCGGGUUGUAAACCUCUUUUAGUAGGGAAGAAGCGAAAGUGACGGUACCUGCAGAAAAAGCACCGGCUAACUACGUGCCAGCAGCCGCGGUAAUACGUAGGGUGCAAGCGUUGUCCGGAAUUAUUGGGCGUAAAGAGCUCGUAGGCGGUUUGUCGCGUCUGCUGUGAAAUCCCGAGGCUCAACCUCGGGCUUGCAGUGGGUACGGGCAGACUAGAGUGCGGUAGGGGAGAUUGGAAUUCCUGGUGUAGCGGUGGAAUGCGCAGAUAUCAGGAGGAACACCGAUGGCGAAGGCAGAUCUCUGGGCCGUAACUGACGCUGAGGAGCGAAAGCAUGGGGAGCGAACAGGAUUAGAUACCCUGGUAGUCCAUGCCGUAAACGUUGGGCGCUAGAUGUAGGGACCUUUCCACGGUUU
rnacentral:rRNA from 1 species